AUGCCUUAAACUUAUGAAUAAGGAAAAUAACCAACCGGGGUGACGCCCGGGUCCUCACUGCUGUUGUGUGCCCUGGUGGCGCAGUGGCAGGAAUGCCGCCUUGCAACACCAGGGCCAGGGGUUCGAAUCCCCCCUG